rnacentral:lncRNA from 1 species
CCCCUUAUCUCAUGCCAUAUUGGACUUUUUUGGUUGCCUAUACACUCGCGGACUCGUUGAAUAUGCCGUAACCGCUGUUGAUUAGACGUGAAGCGGUUUAGAUCGGCAAAGUAGGCAUCAAUGCCUCUGGCAAUAUCCGCUUCUUCUUUGAUGUUUAGAUUUAGGUGUCCUUCCUUAUCCUUAUAUAAGGACAAAGUCUUUGUUACAAUAGCGGAAAUUCUGCUUUUGCAGAGAUUGAAAUGCCGCUCCGUUAACCGCCACUCCUUGGACGAGAGAAGGUCUUGCCAUUGCUUUCGUUCCGCAAUUUCCACAGCCGUCCAAAUCUCAUUUUGGGAGUCCUCCCUCCCC